rnacentral:lncRNA from 1 species
UUACAUUCCGCUGGUAAAUGCUACAAGUUUGAAACGGGGACAGAAACCAAAAUCAUUUUUUAUCCGCCAUGGCAUAAAACUCUGUUUUUUUGGUCAUAUGCAUUCUGUCUCUCUUCUUCCUUCAUGAGCGAAGUUCGUAAUUAAUCGCUAUGGAAGGACUACAAGCGUAGUUGUUUUUUAAUUUGACAGACUGAAAAAAUGCCGUAGUUCUUAUUACCGCAGUUUAGUUGUUUUUCUUUUUCCAAUUUAUAAAUAUAUCUAAAAAAUGACACGGGAAGUUCAUCUACUAGCCAUACUGAUCGUGCUAGCAAUUUGCACGAGUCAGUCUUUGGCGAAAAUUACCAUCAGCUGCGAGGCCGUUUGUGAUCAGGUGGAGAGUGUCCACGGCGAAGAGGACGGGGAGUGCGAUGCUGCGUGCAGGAUGAAGCAGUGUAAAGAUGGAUG